rnacentral:rRNA from 1 species
CACCGUUUACUAGAAAAUCAGUAUCCUACUCGGAUAACUGUGGCAAUUCUAGAGCUAAUACGUGCGAAAAAAGCUCGUUUCGCAAGAUUCGAGCGCAUUUAUUAGAAUAAAAACCAAUCGGGCCCAUAAAGCCCGUAAUUUGGUGAAUCUGAAUAACUUUGCCGAUCGCACGGUCCUAGUACCGGCGACGUAUCUUUCAAGUGUCUGCCUUAUCAACUUUCGAUGGUAGGUUAUACGCCUACCAUGGUAGUAACGGGUAACGGAGAAUAAGGGUUCGACUCCGGAGAGGGAGCCUGAGAAACGGCUACCACAUCCAAGGAAGGCAGCAGGCGCGCAAAUUACCCACUUCCAGAACGGAGAGGUAGUGACGAAAAAUAACGAGACAGUCCUCUUCGAGGUCUGUCAUCGGAAUGGGUACAAUUUAAAUCCUUUAACGAGGAUCUAUUGGAGGGCAAGUCUGGUGCCAGCAGCCGCGGUAAUUCCAGCUCCAAUAGCGUAUAUUAAAGUUGUUGCGGUUAAAACGCUCGUAGUUGGAUCUGCGGCCUCGGAGAACGGUCCCCCGAAAGGGCGGUCACUGUUACUCCAAGCCUAUAUAUCUAGUCUACUCUACGGUGCUCUUAACCGAGUGCCUAGAGUGACUGGAACGUGUACUUUGAAAAAAUUAGAGUGCUUAAAGCAGGCGAAAUAGCCUGAAUAAGGUGCAUGGAAUAAUGGAAUAGGACCUCGGUUCUAUUUUGUUGGUUUUCGGAGCCCGAGGUAAUGAUUAAGAGGAACAGACGGGGGCAUUCGUAUUCCGGCGCUAGAGGUGAAAUUCUUGGACCGCCGGAAGACGGACGACUGCGAAAGCAUUUGCCAAGAAUGUUUUCAUUAAUCAAGAACGAAAGUUAGAGGUUCGAA